UUAAGAUUAAGUUUGGAUUAGGAUUUAAGAUUUGAUUUAGGAUUUAUUUAGGAUUUAGGAUUUAGGAUUGAAGUAGAAUUUAGGAUUUGAAUUAGAGUUUUCUUAGGAUUUAGGAUUUAAGAUUUUUCUAGUAUUCAAAAUUUGCUUAAGAUUUAGAAUUUAGAAUUUAGGAUUUAUUUAGGAUUUAGGAUUUAAGAUUUUUUUAGGAUUUAUUUAGGAUUUAGGAUUUGGCCUAGGAUUUGGCUAAGGAUUUUUCUUCUAAAUCCAUUGGAAUUUCAACUAGGUUAAAUUAGGAUUUGGUUGAAAUUUAUUUGAGAUAUAUUUUUGAUUAUUCUAAUAUUUAUUUAGGAUUUCUUAGGAAUUCUUUUAAGAUUUAUUGUAGAUUUC
rnacentral:lncRNA from 1 species